CCACAUAAGAGGUCCUGCCUGCCCUGUGACUUAGAUUUUAACGGCCGCGGUAUCUUGACCGUGCAAAGGUAGCGUAAUCACUUGUCUUUUAAAUGAAGACCCGUAUGAAUGGCAAAACGAGGGCUUAACUGUCUCCUUCCCCCAGUCAAUGAAAUUGAUCUCCCCGUGCAGAAGCGGGGAUACUCACAUAAGACGAGAAGACCCUAUGGAGCUUUAGACAUAUCAACAGAUCAUGUAAAACCCCUAAAAUAAAAAGAAAAAACCAAAUGGCCCCCUGUUGUAAUAUCUUUGGUUGGGGCGACCCCGGGGAAAUAAAAAACCCCCGAGCGGAGUGAAGACACUUCAACUUCAUAAACAAGAGCCAUAACUCGCACAAUCAGAAUCUCUGACCUAAAGAUCCGAUAUAAUCGAUCAACAGACCGAGUUACCCUAGGGAUAACAGCGCAAUCCCCUUUCAGAGCCCCUAUCGACAAGGGGGUUUACGACCUCGAUGUUGGAUCAGGACAUCCUAAUGGUGUAGCCGCUAUUAAGGGCUCGUUUGUUCAACGAUUAAAGUCCU
rnacentral:rRNA from 1 species